rnacentral:rRNA from 1 species
CAAGACCUCGCGCGAUUGGAGCGGCCGAUAUCAGAUUAGCUAGUUGGCGGGGUAAAAGCCCACCAAGGCGACGAU